UACGUAGGUGGCAAGCGUUGUCCGGAUUUACUGGGCGUAAAGAGCGCGCAGGCGGUCGUUCAAGUCGAGUGUGAAAGCCCCCGGCUCAACUGGGGAGGGUCACUCGAUACUGAUCGACUCGAAGGCAGAAGAGGGAAGCGGAAUUCCCGGUGUAGUGGUGAAAUGCGUAGAUAUCGGGAGGAACACCAGUGGCGAAGGCGGCUUUCUGGGGUAUUUCUGACGCUGAGGCACGAAAGCCAGGGGAGCGAACGGG
rnacentral:rRNA from 1 species